rnacentral:rRNA from 1 species
UACGUAGGUGGCAAGCGUUAUCCGGAAUUACUGGGCGUAAAGCGCACGCAGGCGGCUCUUUAAGUUUGACGUGAAAGCUCCCGGCUUAACUGGGAGAGGUCGUUGAAGACUGAGGGGCUUGAGGCAAUGAGAGGGGUGUAGAAUUCCCGGUGUAGUGGUGGAAUGCGUAGAUAUCGGGGGGAAUACCAGUGGCGAAAGCGGCACCCUAGCAUUAGCCUGACGCUCAUGUGCGAAAGCGUGGGGAGCGAACGGG